CCCACACUUUCAAUGUUGUUUCAACAGCAGCUACGUCAACAUCUUUCUCCGAAGUGGAGAUGCAGACAUCAUAAACACAGGAAGAGGAAGAGGAGGGAGCGCCUUUGGUGAAAACAUGCAUUAAUAUCAAUAGAUGCAGUCAAAAUCGAGGACUUUUUUCGGGAGAAUUUUAAGACCCCAUCAUCACAUUUUCCACUUUAUAAUGAUGUGACUGUUUUUAAUGCUUCUUAAAUCUCCUUCACACCGAAUGUCACCAUCAUCCUUGGAGUCCCAGUGAGCACAACAUGCCCUAAUCAAAAAGGAAACUCCAGGACAGCUCACUAAAAUAGAAAUAAAUCCAGCUACAGAUAUGUCUCUAAGGCUCUGGGAUGCCACUGAUCCACAGACAGAGACGGAUAAUCAGAGUCAGUUCCCAAGCAGAGGAAAGACUUACAAUAUGAACAGCAGUGAACAUUCCCACGAUCUUUCAAGGAACCUGUUAACAUUUCUCCAAGGCAAAUCAUGUCCACAAACUUCAGCAGGCUUCACAGGCCUCGGUUCGUCCAGCCGUUAUGACCUUGACCUAAAAAAAGGCAGCUGGGUUUAUGGGUGAUUAACACAAAUAACCAUCAAGCUCUUCCCAAAGACUUUGGUUUUAUUUUUAGGAAUAUUACAUGAACGAGUGACGGCGGAUCACAAUUUGGAAAGGAGACAGUUCUACUGGAAAAAUUCUACUGCAGAUCAGGAGUUUGAGUAAAAAGAAAAGCUUCAUUUGUUUCUAGCGACAGGUUGGUUCAAAACUUUACACAAUCCACACUUUGGUGAGGUCUUGUAGACCCUCUCUGACUUGUAGACCCUCUCUAACUUGUAGACCCUCUCUGACUUGUAGACUAGUGAUGGCCAGUUCGUGAACGAAUCGUUCUUUUGAACCGGUUCUUUUUAGUGAACUGGAUGAACCGGUUCACCAAAUCGUUCGUCUUGAGUCAGCGCUUGAGUCAUCCACAAGUUACUAAAGUUACACACUUUCGGUCAUGUCUGACAUCCCCUCCGACUGUAAAUAAACUAAUAUCCCGGAGUAUAUGUAACUCCUGUACACAGAACUGAGACAUGUUGUGAGCUUGAGCUGUUGAUACUGCGCAUGCGUGAAUUAUUGAACCGAUACAGCGAAUUAUCUGUACAGAACUGAGAACAGCUUUUUUCGGACGCGUCCGAGAACCGAUGAACUGGUACAGCGAAUCAUCAGUACACUGAACGAACUGUUUCGGACGCCAUACAUUUUCGGUCCGACAUACUGUUGAUGCUGCGCAUGCGUGAACCU